GUGGGGAAUCUUGCGCAAUGGGGGCAACCCUGACGCAGCCAUGCCGCGUGAACGAUGAAGGCCUUAGGGUUGUAAAGUUCUUUUACCCGUGACGAUGAUGACGGUAACGGGGGAAUAAGCUCCGGCUAACUUCGUGCCAGCAGCCGCGGUAAUACGAAGGGGGCUAGCGUUGUUCGGAAUUACUGGGCGUAAAGCGCGCGCAGGCGGUUCGAUAAGUUGGGGGUGAAAUCCCCGGGCUCAACCCGGGAAUGGCCUUCAAGACUGUCGAGCUAGAGGACGAGAGAGGUGAGUGGAAUUCCCAGUGUAGAGGUGAAAUUCGUAGAUAUUGGGAAGAACACCGGUGGCGAAGGCGGCUCACUGGCUCGUUUCUGACGCUGAGGCGCGAAAGCGUGGGGAGCAAACAGGAUUAGAUACCCCAGUAGUCC
rnacentral:rRNA from 1 species